CACAUGAAAGCGGGCAAAGGCGCGACCAGCUACAGACAAAUCACGCACACAUUGCGUAAACCUUCAGCCUGACUUGAAGGCUUCGCCCAGCACGUUGCCAGCUGGUCUGAUGGGGGCGACGGGUCACCACCUCGCCCGCCUUUUGCUUCUCUUGGUCCUGGACGCUGGUGGUGGGCGGCCAUGUUUGACGCCAGCACGUGGGAACAAAGAGACCAUUGAGCUACCAUUCAUGUGCUAAUGAUGCUAGCCGCGUCGCGGAGGACGAUCCACACAUGAAUGCUGUUGUCAUCGCAACCAGCAGCAGCGGUAACCACUGCCUGCGGACUCACUGGCAGUAAAAAUAUUAAUACAACUUACAAGUUAGUGCAAUUGAAGUCUAACCAGUGACUUGGCACGGCACCACUCAAAUUGGAUGUCGACUAGCAUAUUUCCGGACUCCGGGUGACAGGACUUUGUCUGUGUGAAAUGUUUAACAGUGGAAAGCUGGAUCGGCCUACGGUGAGAUUUCUGCUGCAUUCGAGGAAAGUGGGAAGUCUGACUUUUCUGACUUCCAACUUGGAAAAAUGCACUUCUGAACUGGGAGGUCCAAGUUGCAAAGUCGAAAAAA